rnacentral:rRNA from 1 species
AUGAACAAAGUGUUGGAGCAGAUUGGUUUCUUGGGAACUCAGCUGCAGUGCAACGGAAGAUUAUACUCUAGCAGCUUAGUGAAGGAUUGCCUAUCCAAGUCACUGAGCAAAUGUGGCAGCAGCAGCAACGGUGGCCAUCCUUUGGAGGCACAUGGUUUUAUCAGAAGCUCAUUUUACAAGGGACUGAACCCAUAUGAGGACCUACUCCAUUCAAUAUCUCAAAGGGAGAAGAUAAUACGCGCAUCUAAAGGACUAGUGGAGCCGGGCACUCUCUUCAAGGACAUGAUGGCAAUGCUCCGAGAUGUUGUAGCAUGUUAUGAUGGAACCAUAAGAAACUCGUGUGGAAAUUCAGUUGUUGAGUUUGACUCGACAAACUCAUCGAGUUCUGUGACACCAGGAGAUCCUGUUUGUAUAUUGGCAGUCACUGCAGUUGCAAAUGUUGCAUACAAGGCGGUGUUAGAUCCAAAUCAGAACAACAUGACCUCCUGGGACUCAAUGAAGAAAGUGCUACUUACAAGAGCUACCUCUCGAAAUGAAAAUGACCAAAAAAACAAUUUUGUAUCUGAGUAA